GCAACCUACGGGGGGCAGCAGUGGGGAAUAUUGCACAAUGGGGGGAACCCUGAUGCAGCGACGCCGCGUGGGUGAAGAAGUCAUUCGUGACGUAAAGCCCUAUCAGCAGGGAAGAAAAUGACGGUACCUGACCAAGAAGCCCCGGCUAACUACGUGCCAGCAGCCGCGGUAAUACGUAGGGGGCAAGCGUUAUCCGGAUUUACUGGGUGUAAAGGGAGCGUAGACGGUCCUGCAAGCCAGAUGUGAAAG
rnacentral:rRNA from 1 species